UGGACCUUGCUGUAUCUGACACCAUCUGUCUCUAAGGAUGCAUCCUAAAGCUCACUACCUUGUUUUCCAGCCUCAGACAUGCUUACUUCACAUCCAUACAAUGGAUGUUCAGAGCUAAGCCUGUCCAGUCACAAGGCUGCCUGGUUCCAAGAGCAUCAUACCUACUGCAGCAUGUGCUGAGCUCUACUUCACCCAUCCAAUCGGUGGUGAGAAACAGGAAAGAAACAUCAGGUUGAAGGAAGUGCCUACAGGAGGAAAGCAAAGAGAGAUGGGUGCAUCUACUCACUUUGAAAAUGAAGAGAGUUUCACUGAGUGUAUGGGAGCUGCUGAAUCACGGCCUGAACC